UGCUCUUCCAAUCUGGGGCUGGACCCAGAAGUUCUGGUCCAUGCCAGAGCCGGCUGCCCAGACAUGAGCUAUCCUUAAAGUGUAUCUGACUUUUCCUCAGACCAAGGGCGAUCAUCUGAAAAGUGGUUCACACCAUACGUAAAGAUAGUUCAUCAAGAGUAGCUAUAGCUUUGGUAUCUCCCCCGACACCCUGUGCUUUCCAUUACCCUCACAGGCAGAACUGGGGCCGACCUGGGACAAUGAAACAUGGCUGGGCCACUCUAACAGAAGAAGGUGCUUGUACCUGCCUGGAAAUCAUUUCUCAAUGUGACCUCAUACUCAUCCAACUGGAAACUGUAUAGGAGUAGGAACGGAAAGCAAAGCUGAGUGGAAGCAACAGGGUCAGCUAACUGGACAUUGCCACUACACCACACACAGAGACUACAACUCAAGAAGACCAGCGCUCUGUUCCCAAGGAUCUGUGGUUUUCCCCAGCCCCACCAUUGAAUAGCUGUGACUCAGGACAAGUUAGUUCCUCUCUCUGUGCCACUGACUCUUUGUCUGUAAGAUGGGGACAAUAACAACACAUCUCAUAGGGCAAUGGUAAAGCUCAAAGGAGGUGGCACAUGUGAAGUUCUCCAGGACCUGACGUGGAUGAGCUGUGAUGACAGCUAUGGUGCUGAUUUUACCGAGGAGGACCAUUUCUCCUCCGCCAUCCUUCCCCAGGGCAGUCAAACACCGAGGGCUAGAUUCUAGAGUAGACAGACAGCCAGUAAAGCCCUUGUCCUCACAGAGUUUCUAAUCCAGGAAGAAAAAUUCACCACUUGGGAAUAAAAAUGAAGCAGGAAGCAAUUGCUAAAUGUCAAAUGAGUGGUCCAGGCAAGAGGUGCUGUAUAAUUUCAGAGACAGCCACCUUCAUAUUGACCACUUAGUCACAGAAGUAAGCUGUGUGCUGGGCUUUGCAGAUCUGCAGGAGGCUCAGGGGCUGGGGACACCACUUGCAGAUGUCACUUCCAGGCACCACAAGCACCAGAACCAUUUCUCUUUGACUUACGAUAUUUUCCUGACCAUGACGAGGAGGUGGAGAAGAUUCUAAGUAUUGUAGCAGCUUCCUAAUAGAUGCUUUCACCUCAGGUGACAAUCACAAAUUCUCUCCUGAUUGAAGAAUUCUCACUACAAGCAUCAUCACUAAUCUUCCCAUUUUUUCCUACCAAUAAUGAUGAUAAUAACAAAUACACGUACUUAAAAUUCAUCAUGCAGUCACUAUUUAUCACUUAGUCAGGCAUCAGUUAAGUAUCACACAGACAUGAACUCAGUUAACCUUUAACCACAGUCCUGUGAGAGAGGGAUCAUGAUCCCAGAUGAGAACUGAGGCUCAGGGGGAUUAUUUGACUUGGCUGGGUCACUCACUAAGCAUUGGAGCCAAAAAGCGAACCCAGAUUUCACUAAUUCCAGAGCCUGGGCUUUAACCACAGCCCUGUUUUAUCAAAGAAUUUGACCCAGGGGAGUUCACAUGGUCUCCUUCCCAUGCACCACCCCGCAGCUCCUCCAGCUUUUAUCAAACAGGGAACCAGACACGUGCUGAGGUACUGGUCCACCCAAGUAACAGAGGUAUCAACCGAUGCUUCAUGGGUUCACCUUGUAGUCUAACUCACUCCAUGCAUGCUAGUCCCCACACUACCUACCACUUUUGGGACAGAGCUAAAGGGCCAAGGACAACACGCUCGUGACUUGCUGGCCAUGUAAAACUGUCUGCCACUUGAAAGGGGUGUAUCUUUGUUUCUAAUCCUUCCUGUCUACAAGGAAAAGAUGAUAUGGCUAAAUUCAACUACUAGGUGCGAAUUAUGCUUGGUGGCAUUUCUCACAAUAAAGCCUCCGGCAGAAAGAAGAAUGAUUUCCCCCUAAUAGAGCUACAGGUUGGGUCUAUUAAUACAUUUUUUGUUGGUGAACAUCUGGUGUUUAUUGAUGGUAAAUAAAUUGUAUUGACUUUGGUCUUCACUGAUGGUAAAUGAACCCUACAAAUCUAACCAUUCUUUAAAAAUUAUCACCUUUCUACAAGGGAUUCAGCCAGUACUAAAAUCUGACCCCUCACAGGUCCUCAAAAGAUCAGACUAGAAAAGGUGUGACAUUGAGCAUCUAUUCAGAGCCUUAAAAACAUACACAACCAUGGCUCUUGAGGCUUGAAGACCAACUGCUCUGUGACCAACUAUUCUUCUUACAAAUAUAGAAAGUCAGUUAAAAAUACUAAAACAGAGCCAAAAGGGUUUUUUUUAGCUGAAAGUGUCAACUACUCAUGAAAGAUGAUCCCUGAGAUAAUAAUUCAAGACAAUUAAAGUUGGAAGGGAUUAACUCACUUAAUCUCAUUCUACAGCUGUAGAAACUGAAGGCCCAGACAAGUUAAAAAACUUGCGUAAGCCCACACUAUAGGUAGUCAUGGGGUAACCGUGGGCAACCAUGAUCAGGUAAGUACAUAAUCCAAGGCAGGU